rnacentral:tRNA from 1 species
GGGGUUGUAGCUCAGCGGUAGAGCACUUGCCUAGCAGGUAUGAGUCCCUAGGUUCCAUCCUCAGCGCCA